UCACAGGAAGAUUUCAAAGGUUGUUGUAUACUGAUUUUAGGAGAUUGGUUUUCUUAAUUUCUUGGAGAGGAGCUUCAUAAAUCAACUUUGGAAUGUUUGAGGUUGCAAGAAAAGAAUAUGGGUUUGGCCAAAGAGCUUGCAGCAUUCAAAUUGGUUUCUGAUCUGGAUCUCGAUGAAGAGGAGGUUUUAAAGCUUGCCUCUUUUGGUAAUGCUGCCAACAACAAAGAUACCAUAGACAUUUUACGGAAAUCCUUAGUCACGCGUAAUAGGUAGA